AACACAUUUUAAGCUAUCUAAAUGUUAAGGAAACAACACAGGCAUGGGGGUAUAUGUACCUUGGACAGCACAUUCCAGUUUGAUGUCAGAUUAUAAAGGAAAACAAAUAUUCCUGACCUUGAAAUAUCAGAUGUGUUUGUGAGUUCUUAUUCACUCUAAAGGUCAGAUAUCCAGAUUCCCUCAAGCUUCUCCUAAAACAAUCGUCAUGAUAACAAUGAUGAAAUUACAUAAAAGAUGGCUCCUGCCAAGCAGGAUACUGAAGAUGACUUCUGUGUAACCUUGGUCUCAGGAGGAACAACCAUUGGUUCAUGACAUGUCACGCCAACAUAUCAGCCCUAUAAAAAGUGGCACCAGCUUCCAUCCUCUCCAGCUACUGGAAUACCCUCAGCCUCGGCAGAAGAAAGACCACGGGAGCCUCAAGAUGAAGGUUUUGUUCCUGAGUCUACUUCUUGGUGUGAUUUGUGCUGCCCAAGAAGAGGAAGCACAGCCAAGUCUCUCAGAGCUUUCAGGGCAAUGGAGAACGGCCUACAUUGCAUCCAGUAACCUGGGGAAGAUCAAGCCCAACGGGCCAUUCAGGGUUUACCUCCACAAACUUCUGUUUGAUGAUGAACAGGGCACAGUGGACUUCUACUUUUUUGUCAAGUAAGUAAAAAUCACCCAGAAGGAAAACACAUGUAAACCCCGAGCCUCUGGGAGGGUGUGUCUCCCCCGUCUGCAGGGAGCUCUCUGGAUGUGUUGAGACCAUGACACCCUGAGUUGUGGGGCUGAGCAGGGUCUCUGAGCUGGGGAUGCAGUUCCCCUGUGAGUCUCCAGGGAAUUUCCUGGAGCUUUUGCUUGGGGGAGGGGUGUUCCAGAAGCUCCACUUGCAUCAACUCAUUAAAGCAAUGAGGGACACAUA